UUAGGACACAUCCCAGCCUGU
ensembl:piRNA 21ur-783 ncRNA